rnacentral:ncRNA from 1 species
UGAUAGAGGUUGCGGUCUUUAAAGAGUACCGGGCGGGAGGCUGCCGGAGCCGACGAUCGCCCGCGGAAAGGGAAAACCGCCGAAGGAAAGCCCUGGCAAGGCAGUUCCUGGGUGCAUUGUGAAAAUCAUUGCAACUGUCAUCAUGUGAUAUGAUGGAGCACUAUCCG